rnacentral:rRNA from 1 species
GACGAACGCUGGCGGCGUGCUUAAUACAUGCAAGUCGACUUGCUUUUGAUUAGCAAUAGUCAAAAGAGAGUGGCGCACGGGUGAGUAACACGUAGAUAAUCUACCCUCAGGACUGACAUAAUGUAGAGAAAUCUGCACUAAUAUCAGAUGAAACAAAAUCCUGGCAUCAGAGAUUUUGUCAAAGUUUUAACGCCUGAAGAUGAGUCUGCGGUCCAUUAGGUAGUUGGCGGUUUAACAGACCACCAAGCCGACGAUGGAUAGCUGGUCUGAGAGGAUGAUCAGCCACACUGGAACUGAGACACGGUCCAGACUCCUACGGGAGGCAGCAGUAAGGAAUAUUGCUCAAU